GACUGGAGAGAAGGGGAGGGGCACCCAAAACCCAAAACCCAAAACCCAAAACACGAAAGCAUUAGGAUAUGCAGAGCAGCAAAAUGCUGGGUUCUUGCGUAGGCGGUGGUACACUCAGUGCUGCAUUACCCAGAAGAGCUCUGAAACUGAAACGGCUUAUUUCUCCAAAUUCACCACUAUUACCUUCUCACCAAUUUCACCCCAUCAGCAGAAGAUUGACCGCCUCUGCUUCUGCUGGUGCACAGCAGCAGCAACAGCAACAGCAACACCAGCAGCAGAGCCCCAACCUAGUGGCCUUGGAAUAUGCCGACCUUAAUCUCAACCCCACAAUCUCUGAGGAACUGGGUCUGGGUCAUGGCCGAAUCAGGCAACACGUCAACCCUCUGAAAACCUCUCUCUCUGCACCUGUGGAAGUACCUGAUUGGAAUCAAGUCUUCAGGGAUCCAACAUUGCCACUCAUGGUGGAUAUUGGAAGUGGUAGCGGCAGAUUUCUCUUAUGGCUCGCAAAAAGGAAUUUAGUUGUGAGAAAUUAUCUGGGACUGGAAAUACGGAAGAAACUGGUCAAGCGUUCUCAAUUCUGGGUUCAAGACCUGGCUCUUAGUAAUAUACAUUUCAUGUUUGCAAAUGCCACAACUUCCUAUCAACAACUAGUGUCUUCAUACCCCGGACCAUUGAUGCUUGUUUCCAUCCUGUGCCCAGAUCCUUAUUUCAAGAAAAGGCAUCAUAAGAGACGGGUUGUACAGAAGCCUUUAGUAGAUUCCAUUGUGAACAGUUUAAUGCCAAGUGGCCAGAUAUGGCUCAGGUUGCAAGGGUUAGGCUGCUAUUGAGGGAUGCCUUUAGGAUGAAGACCACGCUGUUUAGAACAACAGAGUAGAACAAGCUUGCUGCUUAUCAAAGACAGGCUUCUAACCAACUUUCUUUUGUGCAUAAGCUGUAAAGGUGUUUAUCCAAUCCGACGUACUUGAUGUGGCACUUGACAUGAGAGAUCAGUUUGAUUCUCAUUCCAAUAUCCUGACACACAUCCACGAAAUUGACACAAGUGUGCUGUGUGACAGCGAGGGAUGGUUGUUAAACAAUCCAAUGGGAAUUCGGACCGAGAGAGAAAUUCAUGCAGAGUUUGAAGGUGCAAAGAUUUACAGGCGGGUGUACCAGAAGCAAACGUAAUUAACUUGAAGGUUCGUGGAUGAAGCGCGAUGUGGAUCAAGUGAAAACAUAUAUAGAGUGAAGUACCUCCUGUAGAAAUUAGGCAGUGGUGAUUUACCUUAAUGUUGGGAUUACCAAAUUUUUGUUUAAUUAAAAUGUAGCGAUUAGGUGAUGCACAUUUUAUUGUCUCGGACAAUUUUUUAUGCUUAGGUUUUUGUUAGAGAAUUUUUUCCUCCAAUAAAGCAAAAACAGAAGUUCUUUGUCAAUUCAAAUUCAAGGGUGAUGAAAUUGUUGAGAAUGAA